AUGGCUAGGACGUACUACACACUGCCCUGGGUUCGCUACACCAACUUCGCCCGACUGUUGGUGUUUCUGGAUGGAUGCGCGUCGGCAGCUCUGUGGCUCACCGGUGGUCAUGAUCCGUAUCUUGAAUCAAGUGUCCUGAAGUGGACUAUUACUGGAUCAGUUUUUGAGCUCGCUUGCAUCGGCAUCAUCAAGAUGCUCCUGCUUUUCCACGCCUUCGCGAAACUAGAAGACUUUGCGUUGGCGAUGCUGGAAGACCCGUAUGUUCCGAGGAUCGUGGCCACAAAACGCAACCUGCACGCGUUCACCAUCGCGCUGUCGCUCGCCAGUUUGGUGUACGCGUCGAUCAAAGGAGGCCUGGUGCUCAACGCCAUUCUCAACCACCCCGAGUACGCACCCAUGCACAUUACCUACAAUGUGUCAGUGAUCAGCGCGGUGGCCUUCUCGUUGGUGGAAUUUGUGACGGCCAUUUUGGGACCAUUGUUCCUGCGCCGGUUACAGAUCAUCCGCAUCAAGCACGAGCUCACCGACGAAGACGAGACGAAAGAGAAGGAGGAAAAGAAAAAGGCAAACCUCGGCCGACUUUUCAGUUUGGCCAAACCGGAAUGGCUCUUGCUUCUGGUUGGCAUGCUCGGUCUGAUUGUCGCCAGUGCAUCGUCUAUGGCUGCUCCAUUAUUCUUUGGAUUUGUUGUCGAUGCUGCUACUCAUAAAUCGAUGUCUGCCGUGAACAGUACCGUACUCGUCCUCUUCCUCAUAUUCGCCGGCGGGUCCAUCGCUUCACUGCUUCGCUCCUGGGCCUUCACUCUUGCCGGUUAUCGCGUUGUGUGUCGCAUCCGUCGCGAUCUGUUCGCGGCAAUCAUCCGCCAGGAGGUGGCGUUCUUUGACAUCAACCGGACCGGCGAGCUGACCAAUCGCUUGUCCUCGGACACUGCGGUUCUGCAAAACGCCGUCACGGUGAAUAUCUCGAUGUUGGUGCGCUACUUGUUCCAAAUCCUCGGGUCCAUCAUCAUCAUGUUCACUCAGAGCGCAGCCUUAACUGGUGUUCUGCUUUCAGUGGUUCCCAUUGUGGCCAUCGGGGCUGUCCAAUACGGAAAUUUCGUGAAGGACAUCCGUAAGAAUUUCCAGGACGCCCUCGGCAGUGCGGGCACGGUCGCAGAGGAGUCCAUCUCCAGCAUACGCACCGUGCGCUCGUUCCGCGGCGAGCCAAAGUCGCAGGCGUCCUACGACAAGGAGGUGGCGCUCAGUUACAAGUACGGCAAAUCGUUGGCCGUGUUGACCGGCGUCUUCAAUGGGCUUAUAGGCAUUAUAUCCCAGGGAGCGAUAGCCCUAGUACUAUGGUACGGUGGCAAGCUUGUGCAUCUGAACGUGACAACCGGAGGCACGCAAGGUAUCAGCGUGGGCAUUCUGACAGCCUUCAUGCUGUACACGCUGAACGUAGCCAUGGCGUUUGCCUUUCUGGCCUCGCUCUAUGGGGAUUUCAUGCAGGCGGUGGGCGCGUCCAUCCGCAUCUUUGCUCUGAUGGACCGCCAGCCGGAAGUCAGCAACGAGGGCGGGCAGCACCUGAUGGAGUUCAACGGGGAACUGGAGUUCGAAGACGUCCAUUUCAAGUAUCCCUCCCGACCGGAAAAUGAAGUACUCAAGGGGGUGUCUUUCGACAUGAAGCCAGGCCAAGUCAUGGCUUUGGUCGGUCCCUCCGGAGGCGGCAAAUCUACGAUAGUCAAUCUCAUCGAGAGAUUUUAUGAACCUACCUCCGGCUCCGUCAAGCUUGAUGGAGUCAGUCUAUCCGAGCUGGAUCCGAUGUUUUUCCGGCGAAAGAUUUCCAUGGUCAGUCAGGAGCCGUCCUUGUUUGCCUGUUCCAUCAAGGACAAUAUUGCUUAUGGGAAGGAUGCAACAGAUGAGGAGAUAGAGCAAGCGGCUAGAAUGGCCAACGCCCAUGACUUCAUUACGUCAUUUGAGGAGGGUUACAAGACCCUGGUAGGGGAAAGAGGAGUUCGUCUGUCGGGAGGCCAGAAACAACGAGUUGCUAUCGCGAGAGCCCUCAUCAUGGAUCCUAAGAUAUUACUCUUGGAUGAGGCUACCAGCGCCUUAGAUGCAGAGAGCGAGCAUCUAGUACAAGAAGCUAUCGAUAGAGCCAUGGUGGGACGGACGGUGCUUAUCAUCGCUCACCGACUAUCCACAGUCAGGAAUGCGUCACAGGUUCUAGUCAUCAACCACGGCAGGAUAGCUGAGAAAGGAACUCACGACGAACUAGUUGGUAAGGGCGGUAUCUACAAGAAACUGGUACUUCGUCAGUUGAGCGCAGCGGGCGGGGCCAUCAACACCAUCCCCGAGGAUCUGAUCCUUGAUGACGAAACCGAUGAGGUCAUCGAGCUGGCGAACGGCUUGGACUGAGAACUGUUGGCCUGGCAACCUGAGACAACCUGAGCUACUUAAGUAUUUUCUUUCACAAGUCCAUCAAGUUAGUCACAAGUCAAUCACAAGUCCUCAUAAUUUCAUCACAGGUCUUCACAAGUCCCUCUCAAGUCUGUCACAAAUCCUCACAAGUUCAAUACAAGUCCUCACCAGUCCAUCAAAAGUCAGUCACAAGUCAUCUGUUAGUGUUGUAGUCAAGUCCAACACAUGUCCUCACAAAUCCAAUACGAGUCUAUCAAAAGUCUAUCGUAAGUCCAACACAAUUCCUCACAAGUUUAUCUCAAGUCAGUCACAAGUCAUAUUUUGAUGUUGUAGUCAAGUCCAACACAAGUCCUCACAAGUCCAUCACAAGUCAGUCCCAAGUCCUCACAAAGUCCAUCACAAGUCCGUCACAAAUCCUCACAAGUCCUUCACAAAUCAUCGUUUAGUGUUGUAGUCAUAUCCAACACGAGUCCUCAAAAGCCCAUCACAAGAUAGUCCCAAUCCAACGCAAGUCCAACAAAAGUCCUCACAAGACUAUCAAAAGUCGGUCACAUGUCAUCUAUUAGUAUUGUAUUCAAGUCCGACAAGUCCUCACAAGUUCAUCACAAGACAGUCACAAUCAAACACAAGUCCUCACAAGUCUAUCACAAGUCCUCAAAAUUCCAACACAAUUCUUCACAAAUCCAACACAAGGCCUCACAAGUCCUCAGAAGUCCAUCUCACAUCAGUCACAAUCCAGCACAGUUCCUCACAAGUCCUCACAAGCCAACACAAGUGAAUCUCAGGUUGUUCAGCUCCAAGUCAAGUCUCCAGCUUCUCAAAUGAAAUUUGACAAAAGGUAUUCCUUAUUGAACUUGUGAAUUGGCAUGAGAUUUAUCGUUCAUUUUAUUAUGCAUUGUACUAUUUCAAUACGUGUAUUUUUACUUUUGAUGGGGUUUCAAGGCAAAAUUGGUGUUUUUAUGUUAAAUGUAUUACCAUAUUCAUAAGCAAGUCAGUGAUGUCAUCUUUGGCAGAAGCCAUGGCCGUACGCUGCUCGAGCAAAGUUGCUAGAAUUUUGUUCAAUUUUUGUCAAUCUUUUUAGUGUUUCCUUUUGUCAAUUCAGAUCAUAAUGAUGGCCAGUGAUUUUGUAAAUUCAAUAGCAAAAUGUUAAAAAAAAGCAACAUCAUUGCCAACGAAAAGCCUAAACGGAUAUAAAAGGAUGUGUCAAAUAUGGCAUCACAGCCCUCGGGUGUCAGAAAGUAGCAUAGAUAUUUGUAAAUUUUUGAAAGAAAGUGAAUUUAGUUAUUAAAUAUUCAAUCAAUGGUAGCAAUGUGCCUGCGAGCUUUCUCUCUGUAUAUUACAAAUUUGUUGAUUAUUAGAAUUUUGUUUUAGUUGUUUUAUACUUUUAUUCUUUUUUUAUUGUAAGGGUUGAAUUGUGCGUAUAAAAAAAAAUCGCCGAGGGGAUAAUUAUGUCAGAAAAGGGGUGUGGCUUAAGGUUUAAAUACGGGGAGGUCAGUCAAACUAUGAAGUGGCCCUCUCAUGCUAUUUUUGAGUUUCACCCUUAAAAAAUAUAUUUUGUUUUUUUAAUUGCCAUUUUUCUAGCGAUACAAAUGUUAUUCAUGUUUGAACGAGACAUCAGAGAAAACAAUGACUACACAAAUUUUUAAUUGUUUCAGGCCUACUUUUUAUAUGUUAUAGGCACAAAAGCAACCCAAAAUAAAAGCGUUGAAAACAUCCAAAACAGACAAAAAGGAGCCUUUUCCGUUUAUAAAUAAAACAUACACGUUGGAAAAUUUGUUUGGAGAGAAAAAUAAAAUUGAAUAUAUGUUUUUUGAAGACCACUGGUAGUGAAACUUCACACACUUAAAAGAAAACGGUGUUGGAUAGAAUUUGCAUCCCAAUAAGUGUGGCCCAACUAUAGUUGGUCUAAGAUAAUGUUGAAGAUAUUUAAAAAGAGACCAGUGACCGAGUAUUUUUUUUUUUUGGCCUUACAUUGAUUACGUUGUGAAGAUUUUAUUGUAAACAUUGUUUAACUAGUAGUUUUCAAAAUAUAUUUUCUUUAAAACUUCAGGUAGAGAUUUUUGUAUUAUGUGUAUUCUUUGGGAUCACCACUACUGUGUCAAAAGGACUAAAUUUAGAAAAUUUAAAUUGUUUGUACAAAUUAAUUUUGGUUGGUAUUAUUUAAAUGCAACUAUAUUAAUUUACAAAAUAUAAUUGUAGGCUGAAAGAAAUUAUGGCACGUUCUUUAAAAGAACAUAUUUUUUUGUAUUAAUUAAGAGGAGCACAUUGUGUUUGAAUAUUUUUUGGAAUAAAUUUCAUUGAAAUGCAGUGUGUGACCCAUA
rnacentral:misc_RNA from 1 species